AGAACACAGACUAGCAGACCCUCAAGGGGUAGGCAGUUGUUUCAGAUUUCUGCAAGUGAUUCGUUGAACCUACUAAAUAUGUUGUUUCAUUUAAAACCAAUAGAACCAAUACAACUCACUCAGAUUUACAUUCAGUGAAGUCUCAUAAGUAAUGCAUGAAGUAUGUCUCUGAACUGUCUCCUGGAAUAUCUUAAACACCUGACAACAUGUGUGACCUUUUAUAAGGAAGAGUGAAAAGAAGUGGAACUCCUUUUCCUGUCCUCCCUCUCCAGAAAAAAGGAAGCCCAAGGUAGUGGAUACAUGUAUCUGAGAAGAAAUGUCCAAAAGAUUUAUUUUUUUAAUUAGCAAAGAAAGCAUUUUUUUCAGUUAUGACUGACUGUACUAACUGUGGAAUAUUACAGCAAAUACUGAACUUUGUGCUAUUAAUGCAUGAAGCAGAAAUGUCACAUUGAGGAAUUUUGAAUAUGAGGAUUAACAUCAAUGGAGAGAUCUGUUACUAAGGAAUCUGCUGUUGAAAACAAUUACACCAGCUCAGAGCCUCUAAGAAAAGCUUCCUCAGCUAUUUUUUCCUUGCUGGGAAAUCAACUGAUUAUAGUCAUGCACACCUGUAGGUGCUGCUUCCAGAACAAGUGUUCAGCAGUUAGACAACUUCUUCUCAUUUAGAUCCUUCCUAAAGACUCGCAUCUUUUUUUCCUUGCC